AAAGAUUAAGCCAUGCAUGUCUAAGUUUAAGCAUUUAAACGGUGAAACUGCGAAUGGCUCAUUAAAUCAGUCAUAGUUUAUUUGAUGGUACCUUACUACAUGGAUAACUGUGGUAAUUCUAGAGCUAAUACAUGCGUUGAAUCUCGACUUCUGGAAGAGAUGUAUUUAUUAGAUCCAAAACCAACUUUUCUUGGUGAAUCAUAAUAACUGCUCGGAUCGCAUAGCCUUGUGCUGGCGAUGCUUCAUUCAAAUAUCUGCCCUAUCAACUUUCGAUGGUAGAAUAGAGGCCUACCAUGGUGAUGACGGGUAACGGGGAAUAAGGGUUCGAUUCCGGAGAGAGGGCCUGAGAAACGGCCCUCAGGUCUAAGGACACGCAGCAGGCGCGCAAAUUAUCCCCUGGCAACACUUUGCCGAGAUAGUGACAAUAAAUAACAAUACAGGGCCCUUUGGGUCUUGCAAUUGGAAUGAGUACAACUUAAAUUCCUUAACGAGGAACAAUUGGAGGGCAAGUCUGGUGCCAGCAGCCGCGGUAAUUCCAGCUCCAAUAGCGUAUAUUAAAGUUGUUGCAGUUAAAAAGCUCGUAGUUGAACCUUGGGCCUGACCUGCCGGUCCGCUUAUGGCGAGUACUGGUUUUAGGUCGGGUCUUUCCUCCUGGCUAACCUUGGUGUUCUUUACCGGAUGCCUUGGCGAACCAGGACUUUUACUUUGAAAAAAUUAGAGUGUUCAAAGCAGGCCUUCGCUCGAAUAUAUUAGCAUGGAAUAAUAGAAUAGGACGUAUGGUUCUAUUUUGUUGGUUUCUAGGACCAUCGUAAUGAUUAAUAGGGACAGUCGGGGGCAUCAGUAUUCAAUUGUCAGAGGUGAAAUUCUUGGAUUUAUUGAAGACUAACUACUGCGAAAGCAUUUGCCAUGGAUGUUCUCAUUAAUCAAGAACGAAAGUUAGGGGAUCGAAGACGAUCAGAUACCGUCGUAGUCUUAACCAUAAACUAUGCCGACUAGGGAUCGGGCGAUGUUUUUUAUUGACUCGCUCGGCACCUUACGAGAAAUCAAAGUUUUUGGGUUCNGGGGGGAGUAUGGUCGCAAGGCUGAAACUUAAAGGAAUUGACGGAAGGGCACCACCAGGUGUGGAGCCUGCGGCUUAAUUUGACUCAACACGGGGAAACUCACCAGGUCCAGACACAAUAAGGAUUGACAGAUUGAUAGCUCUUUCUUGAUCUUGUGGUUGGUGGUGCAUGGCCGUUCUUAGUUGGUGGAGUGAUUUGUCUGGUUAAUUCCGAUAACGAACGAGACCUUAACCUGCUAAAUAGACCAGCCGACUUUGGUUGGCUGCUGUCUUCUUAGAGGGACUAUCAGCGUUUAGCUGAUGGAAGUUUGAGGCAAUAACAGGUCUGUGAUGCCCUUAGAUGUUCUGGGCCGCACGCGCGCUACACUGACAGAGCCAGCGAGUCUAUACCUUGGCCGGAAGGCCUGGGAAAUCUUGUGAAACUCUGUCGUGAUGGGGAUAGAACAUUGCAAUUAUUGUUCUUCAACGAGGAAUACCUAGUAAGCGUGAGUCAUCAGCUCGCGUUGAUUACGCCCCUGCCCUUUGUACACACCGCCCGUCGCUACUACCGAUUGAAUGGCUUAG
rnacentral:rRNA from 1 species